UACGGAGGGUGCAAGCGUUAAUCGGAAUUACUGGGCGUAAAGCGCACGCAGGUGGCUGAGAAAGUCGAUUGUGAAAGCCCUGGGCUUAACCUGGGAAUUGCAGUCGAAACUACUCGGCUAGAGUAUGGGAGAGGACAGUGGAAUUCCCGGUGUAGCGGUGAAAUGCGUAGAUAUCGGGAGGAACAUCAGUGGCGAAGGCAGCUCGCUGGGACGUGACUGACGCUGAGACGCGAAAGCGUGGGGAGCAAACAGG
rnacentral:rRNA from 1 species